UACAGAGGGGGCAAGCGUUGUUCGGAAUUACUGGGCGUAAAGGGCGCGUAGGCGGCCUUCUAAGUCGAACGUGAAAUCCCCGGGCUCAACCCGGGAACUGCGUCCGAUACUGGGAGGCUUGAAUCCGGGAGAGGGAUGCAGAAUUCCAGGUGUAGCGGUGAAAUGCGUAGAUAUCUGGAGGAAUACCGGUGGCGAAGGCGGCAUCCUGGACCGGCAUUGACGCUGAGGAGCGAAAGCUAGGGGAGCAAACGGG
rnacentral:rRNA from 1 species